rnacentral:rRNA from 1 species
UACGUAGGGUGCGAGCGUUGUCCGGAAUCAUUGGGCGUAAAGCGCGUGUAGGCGGCCCGGUAAGUCCGCUGUGAAAGUCGGGGGCUCAACCCUCGAAUGCCGGUGGAUACUGUCGGGCUAGAGUGCGGGAGAGGCGAGUGGAAUUCCUGGUGAUAGCGGUGAAAUGCGCAGAUAUCAGGAGGAACACCAAUUGCGAAGGCAGCUCGCUGGAACGUAACUGACGCUGGAGAACGCGAAAGCGUGGGGGAGCAAACAGG